rnacentral:rRNA from 1 species
UACAGAGGUCUCAAGCGUUGUUCGGAUUCAUUGGGCGUAAAGGGUGCGUAGGUGGCUUGUUAAGUUGAAGGUGAAAUCUCGGAGCUCAACUCCGAAACUGCCUUCAAUACUGGCGAGCUCGAGGACUGUAGAGGAGAAUGGAAUUCACGGUGUAGCAGUGAAAUGCGUAGAUAUCGUGAGGAAGACCAGUGGCGAAGGCGAUUCUCUGGGCAGUUCCUGACACUGAGGCACGAAGGCCAGGGGAGCAAACGGG